rnacentral:rRNA from 1 species
UACGUAGGGUGCAAGCGUUAAUCGGAAUUACUGGGCGUAAAGCGUGCGCAGGCGGUUCGCUAAGACAGAUGUGAAAUCCCCCGGGCUUAACCUGGGAACUGCAUUUGUGACUGGCGGGCUAGAGUAUGGCAGAGGGGGGUAGAAUUCCACGUGUAGCAGUGAAAUGCGUAGAGAUGUGGAGGAAUACCGAUGGCGAAGGCAGCCCCCCUGGGCCAAUACUGACGCUCAUGCACGAAAGCGUGGGGAGCAAACAGG